rnacentral:lncRNA from 1 species
GUUUCAAAAAAAAAAAAAAAAGUAAGCUUGAGGCUUGAUCCAGAUCUGAGCACACUUCCAGAUUAGGAACGCUUCCAGGUGUAAAGGAGACAGUGUUUGCUUCCAGAGCUGUGACGUGACUGGCAGAACGAACAUAGGCUAUGCACCAGUAAAUCUCAAACUCUGAAUGAUAAGGUAUUCAGUUUCUAAGAAAUCAUGAUUAAGCUAUGCAUGCCUGGAACAGAGAAGAGGAAUCAACAUGAGAUUUCAUGACCCAGUUGACUCUUCCUUCAGUAUGUAUCCACAAAUGGUAUUAAGAAAAAAAAUUGGGAUAAAAUUGAACGAGAUUUGA